rnacentral:rRNA from 1 species
AAUCAACGCUGGCGGCGUGCCUAACACAUGCAAGUCGAACGAGAACGGUACUUUCGGGUACUUAGUAGAGUGGCGAACGGGUGAGUAACGCGUGGAUGAUCUACCUUGUAGUGGGGGAUAACUCGGGGAAACCCGUGCUAAUACCGCAUACGCCCUGAUUGAGGGGAAAGGUUUUUUAGUAAAUCGCUAGAAGAGGAGUCCGCGUCCGAUUAGCUAGUAGGUGGGGUAAUGGCUUACCUAGGCGACGAUCGGUAGCCGGUCUGAGAGGACGGACGGCCACACUGGGACUGAGACACGGCCCAGACUCCUACGGGAGGCAGCAGUGGGGAAUUUUGGGCAAUGGGCGCAAGCCUGACCCAGCAACGCCGCGUGGAGGAUGAAAGUUUUCGAAUUGUAAACUCCUGUCCGGAGGGACGAAGGCAGUGACGGUACCUCUGGAGGAAGCCCCGGCUAACUCCGUG